GAGACGCUGGCGGCGUGCUUAACACAUGCAAGUCGAGCGAUGAAACUCCUUCGGGAGUGGAUUAGCGGCGGACGGGUGAGUAACACGUGGGCAACCUGCCUCAAAGUGGGGAAUAGCCCUCCGAAAGGAGGAUUAAUACCGCAUAAUAUGAAAGAAUCGCAUGGUACUUUCAUUAAAGAUUUAUCGCUUUGAGAUGGGCCCGCGGCGCAUUAGCUAGUUGGUGAGGUAACGGCUCACCAAGGCGACGAUGCGUAGCCGACCUGAGAGGGUGAUCGGCCACAUUGGAACUGAGACACGGUCCAGACUCCUACGGGAGGCAGCAGUGGGGAAUAUUGCGCAAUGGGGGAAACCCUGACGCAGCAACGCCGCGUGAGUGAUGAAGGUCUUCGGAUUGUAAAACUCUGUCUUCAGGGACGAUAAUGACGGUACCUGAGGAGGAAGCCACGGCUAACUACGUGCCAGCAGCCGCGGUAAUACAAGCCGAA
rnacentral:rRNA from 1 species